rnacentral:rRNA from 1 species
CCUACGGGAGGCAGCAGUGGGGAAUAUUGGACAAUGGGCGCAAGCCUGAUCCAGCAAUGCCGCGUGAGUGAUGAAGGCCUUAGGGUCGUAAAGCUCUUUUACCAGGGAUGAUAAUGACAGUACCUGGAGAAUAAGCUCCGGCUAACUCCGUGCCAGCAGCCGCGGUAAUACGGAGGGAGCUAGCGUUGUUCGGAAUUACUGGGCGUAAAGCGUACGUAGGCGGUUAUUCAAGUCAGAGGUGAAAGCCCGGGGCUCAACCCCGGAACGGCCUUUGAAACUAGGUAGCUAGAAUCUUGGAGAGGUCAGUGGAAUUCCGAGUGUAGAGGUGAAAUUCGUAGAUAUUCGGAAGAACACCAGUGGCGAAGGCGACUGACUGGACAAGUAUUGACGCUGAGGUACGAAAGCGUGGGGAGCAAACAGGAUUAGAUACCCUGGUAGUCCACGCCGUAAACGAUGAUAACUAGCUGUUCGGGCACUUGGUGCUUGAGUGGCGCAGCUACGACAUUAAGUUAUCCGUCCGUCGGGUAGGUACGGUCGCGAAGAAGUUAAAACGUUAAAACGGUAAAGUUAGUACGGACGUGAGACGUAGCCGAACGACGACGACGAGGGAGGUAGG